ACAUCGUUCAUUAUUCAGCUCCUCUCCUACUCAGCAAGAGAAUCAUGCACAGAUCCCUGGCCUGGGUAUCCCUCACACCGUAAAUGCUUGCAACUUCUCUCUUAUAUCCUUAGGAGGAUACUUUUGUACCAGCUUAGGAUAACUAGAAAGAAUAUUUAGUCAGAUAAUUUUCUAUGGGGUUUAAUUCUCUUGCAAAAUGCCAAUCGAGAAAGCUGUUGAUGUUUAGUCCCUUUGAAUGAUUAAGGUUUUCUUUUCAGGUCAAAGAGUCCUGUUUGUGGUCAACUGAAUUAUCCCCUCCCUCCUGCCUCCUCCCCCUCCCUUGUUCUAAUUUUAAUGCCUUCUCCUUUUGUCCAAGGCCUCUGGGAUGCAGAGGAUUUAUUAGCGUGUCUCUCAUAAAAACCGGAGCAUAGCAGGAAAUUAAAUUCAUCUGGCAUAAGCACCUGUUUGGAGAGCUUUGCUGGUUGCGCUGCUCCACUUCACGGUUGCCAAGGUGAUGGCGAAGUGACUGGCAGCUUGUCUGAGGAUGGUCCAGAUAUCAAUGUUUUAACAUCAUCAACUAAAGGAAGCACUGUUGGCAGAGACAUCGGCCAUAGUAGUCCAGGGUAUCCCAGACCCAGGAGGAGAGAUCUCAGAGGGAUCCUGUGGAGAACUCAAGAAAGAAAAGAGAGAGGUGAUUGUUUUGAGUGGCCUCAAGGGGGCAGACUUAAGAGUCAUGCACAUAGACGGAAGGAAGACAGAUUUUAGUUCGAAAUCUGGACAGUGGAAGCAAUACACUGUGAAAGAUGCCCGUGGGGGUUUUCCUCACAAGAGUUUGGGGAGCGCACCUUGUAGAAAAACCAAAAAACUAAGAUUCUUCAUCCCAAAUCAUUACCACACCAUACAACUAGACAACUCGAAUGCUAGUAGUAAUAAUUUUCAGGUUCAUUUCUCUCUCUGGAAAUCCUGGUUCCUUUUCUCAAGGGAAUGGUGUUUUGUCUACCUGCAUCAUAACUCAAAAAACAAAUUGCAUAUUACUCGUAUUCAAAGGAUCCUUUCACACCUGAUAUGGCGAGACAAAUAUGCAUUCUAUAUCUAGCUUUUAAUGCCAAACUAUACCACGAAGGGAAUAACUAUCUCUUCCUGGUGGUAGCAUGCUAAGUACUUCAUGUGCUUUUAACCUCAUUUAACAUAAACAUAGUGAGAUAAUUCUGCCCAGAGAUAUUAUCAAAAGAUAGUCAUGCUAAACAAAAGGAUUCCACAGAUGCUUGUCUGCCCAGGAAUCAUGAAGAUGGAAGAAUUCUUGCCAGAGCCAAGACCCAGCAGCAGGUUUCUUAGCAGUCCAAAGAGUGGCGUGUGGGGCAUUCUUUGGCAGUACAGAGCCUCACUCCUGUUCAAACACUCACUAGAUAAAUCAAACUGUUUUUGAUUCCUGUUUGGCAGGCAGGAAAUGGCAAAUCAGUGUCUUAAGGGAUUGACAAAAUAUGUAAUUAGACACUAUCAAUCACCAUAAAAGAGCUCGGUUUUUCUUACAUCAGAUAAACGCAGCUUAGUCGAAAGAAGUAUUACUUAACUCAGUAAGGUCGCAAGAUCCAUAGGCAGCCUUAGCAGACUUACUCGCUGUGAAAGGAAACAAAUCACUGUUGCUAGGUAGGGAGAGGGAGUGAGGGUGGGAGGGUAGGGCCAGACUCUUAAGUUUCCUAACACCUUGAACAGGACACGCCCCAUUUCUUCAGGCUCCUUUUUUUUUUCAAACUAAAGGAAAUAAACAAAAUCCUCUACUAAGCUUUUCCCUAUUUUAAUUGUGUCUAGACUUAGAAUCCUAAAAGGAGGUCAGAGAAAAGAUAACAUUCUGAAAUGCCUACCUCAGUGGGGGAGAUUAUGUCCAUUUGUCAUAACCGGUGGGGACCACCGGGCACAGGACCUCCUUUUUUGACCAAUGUUAUUUCCUCUUCUCCAUUUAGUCUGUAUGAGGCUUUUAAAAGAUGUUUCCCAAAUUAUAUAGCUAAAGUUCGGGGUGACUUAAGUGCACAGCAAAUAAAAGAUUGUGUUACUCC
rnacentral:lncRNA from 1 species